rnacentral:rRNA from 1 species
GACGAACGCUGGCGGCGCGCCUAACACAUGCAAGUCGAACGGAGCUGAGAGGAGCUUGCUUUUCUUAGCUUAGUGGCGAACGGGUGAGUAACGCGUGAGUAACCUGCCCUGGAGUGGGGGACAACAGUUGGAAACGACUGCUAAUACCGCAUAAGCCCACGAUCCGGCAUCGGAUUGAGGGAAAAGGAUUUAUUCGCUUCAGGAUGGACUCGCGUCCAAUUAGCUAGUUGGUGAGGUAACGGCCCACCAAGGCGACGAUUGGUAGCCGGACUGAGAGGUUGAACGGCCACAUUGGGACUGAGACACGGCCCAGACUCCUACGGGAGGCAGCAGUGGGGGAUAUUGCACAAUGGGGGAAACCCUGAUGCAGCGACGCCGCGUGGAGGAAGAAGGUUUUCGGAUUGUAAACUCCUGUCGUUAGGGACGAUAAUGACGGUACCUAACAAGAAAGCACCGGCUA